rnacentral:lncRNA from 13 species
UGCAGGCGGCGCCCGGGUGAGCUGUUGCCGGCUGCAGCCACCGCCGCCGGGUCGCCGGGUCGCUGGGGCCGCGGCGCUCGGGCCGGGUCCGUGCCUCCCGGGCGCGCUGCGCGGCCGUCGCUGCUGCCCGCGCUCGUGCCGCCGCCGCCGCCGCCGCCGCCGCUGCCGGUUACGCCAGCCCCGCCGCCGCCCGCUCUGAUUCUGCGCAUAGGCAGCCCCCAAGCCUGUCAUUCUGCAAAAACACAGUUUACUCAACACACCACACACACUCGCACACACACGCGCGCACACACACGCGCACACCGGCCCCCGCGCGCACACGCACGGAGGGCGCGAGCGAGCAGACGCGCACACCGGCGAGCCAAGUUCCGCAGCCUGGCAUGGCUUCUGGGGACCUUUACGAGGUACGGGGACGCGGGGGCGCGGGCCGCCUCCCGCGGCGCCCGCGCCCGCUCCCUCUUUCUCUUUCUCUCGCACACACACUCUCUUACUCCAUCUACUUUGCGGCCUUGGAGGGGAAGGAGGAAGCCGGGCGGAGCCGGGGCGGGGGAGGUAGCGGUCCCGGGGAGGUGUUUCUCGCCCGACGAGCCGCCUCGAGUGCAGAAAGUACAGGUAAAAGUCGGCGCUGGACGUGCUGGGAAUGCUGGGGGCCGCGCCGCGGCCGGUGGGGGUGUGUGGUUGGGGGUGCGCGGCCGGGCUGGGCCGGGGGCGCGGGGGAGGAGGGGGCGGGCGAUCGGAGUGGAGCCCGGCCGGGGUGAGGCGGCGUGCCGGGGGGCUGCAAAGGGGACGGCUGGGUUGGGGUUCGGGGGGACACCCACCAAACCGUUCCCCGGGGCCCCCGGGCCACCUCCCUCACCCACCACCUGCUGCCCCCGCACCGGCUCCGACGCCCUCCGGGCUCGGAGGGGGCGGCCCUUGCGGGUGUCGUGCUCCCUAGGGGCGAAAGGGGGCGCUGCAGAGGGCCCUGGGUGGGAGGAAACCUGGAAGUCUGAGGCUACGGGGGACACAGGACACUGA